UACGGAGGGGGCAAGCGUUAUCCGGAUUCAUUGGGUUUAAAGGGUGUGUAGGCGGGUUUGUAAGUCAGUGGUGAAAUCUUGCCGCUUAACGGUAAAAUUGCCAUUGAUACUGCAGAUCUUGAAUAUGGAUGAGGUAGGCGGAAUGUGUAGUGUAGCGGUGAAAUGCAUAGAUAUUACACAGAACACCGAUUGCGAAGGCAGCUUACUAAACCAUUAUUGACGCUGAUGCACGAAAGCGUGGGGAGCAAACAGG
rnacentral:rRNA from 1 species